rnacentral:rRNA from 1 species
UACCAGACUCCUACGGGAGGCAGCAGUGGGGAAUAUUGGGCAAUGGAGGAAACUCUUACCCAGCAAUGCCGCGUGAAUGAAGAAGGUCUUCGGAUUGUAAAGUUCUUUAAUUGGGGACGAAAAAAAUGACGGUACCCAAGGAAUAAGCCCCGGCUAACUACGUGCCAGCAGCCGCGGUAAUACGUAGGGGGCAAGCGUUAUCCGGAAUUACUGGGUGUAAAGGGUGAGUAGGCGGCAUGGUAAGCCAGAUGUGAAAGCCUUGGGCUUAACCCGAGGAUUGCAUUUGGAACUAUCAAGCUAGAGUACAGGAGAGGAAAGCGGAAUUCCUAGUGUAGCGGUGAAAUGCGUAGAUAUUAGGAAGAACACCAGUGGCGAAGGCGGCUUUCUGGACUGAAACUGACGCUGAGGCACGAAAGCGUGGGGAGCGAACAGGAUUAGAUACCCGUGUAGC